AUACGGAGGAUCCGAGCGUUAUCCGGAUUUAUUGGGUUUAAAGGGUGCGCAGGCGGCCAUUUAAGUCAGCGGUUAAAUCGUGGGGCUCAAUCCCAUUCUGCCGUUGAUACUGGGUGGCUUGAUUGCGGUCGAGGUUGGCGGAAUUCGUUGUGUAGCGGUGAAAUGCAUAGAUAUGACGAAGAACACCGAUUGCGUAGGCAGCUGACCAGACCGCAAAUGACGCUCAUGCACGAAAGUGCGGGGAUCGAACAGGAUUAGAUACCCUGGUAGUCCGCACAGUAAACGAUGAAUACUUGUUUUCGGCGAUAUAAUGUCGGAGGCAAAGCGAAAGCGAUAAGUAUUCCACCUGGGGAGUACGCCGGCAACGGUGAAACUCAAAUGAAUUGGCGGGG
rnacentral:rRNA from 1 species